ACUGCGGUAGUGUAGUGGUUAUCAUUUGUGCCUUGCAAGCAAGACGACCCGGGUUCGAGUCCUGGCCGCAGUG